rnacentral:rRNA from 1 species
UACGUAGGGGGCUAGCGUUGUCCGGAAUCAUUGGGCGUAAAGAGCGUGUAGGCGGCCCGGUAAGUCCGCUGUGAAAGUCGGGGGCUCAACCCUCGAAUGCCGGUGGAUACUGUCGGGCUAGAGUGCGGAAGAGGCGAGUGGAAGUUCCUGGUGUAGCGGUGAAAUGACGCAGAUAUCAGGAGGAACACCGGUGGCGAAGGCGGAUCUCUGGGCCUUACCUGACGCUGAGGCGCGAAAGCUAGGGGAGCAAACAGG